CAUAUAACAUAGCAUCACAAAGAUAGUCAAUAAUAGAUGAUCUAUUUUCUCUUGUUGGAUUUUGACUUGUGCUUUCCAACUAGAUCCGAACCGAUAACACUCUUAACCGUCACUUUCGAGGACCGAGACGACGAGGCCAUUAGCACACAAAUAAAACAUGUGUGGAAGAGAAAGGAUAAGAUGAAGUGAAUGGCUCGAUUAGAUGGGACGAAAAAGAGGUUUGGAAGAUGGAAAUGGUCAACAACAGACACGAUUAACUCACUCAAACAAGGAUAUAGGAAGAACAUGUAGAUGCAAUAAUUGGACCUAUAAAUGCUGAAUUCAUGGAUUGAUAUCAGUGGGAAUAGAUCACCAAUCAUUACAGUAGUUUCAACACAGAGAACCCAAAGCUUAGCUUGUAAUUGGUUGGCUCAAUCACCUCUGGAGACCAAAGUUGUUCAUGUCCCUAUAGAAGCAUAUGGAACAUUCGCAUGAUCUGGAAUUGUCUCAAACAUGAUUUGAUAAUGAACCUAAACCAGCUCAAAUUCCUGUACCACAAAGUAGGUUCAGAUCAGGUAAUCAUAUCAUCUCAUGUGCAUGACAAAUGAAACAAAUGGCCCUUAUCACAAAGCAGGUUCAGCUCAAAUUCAUGUAAAAUUCGAAUAUGAGACUUCAUACACCUUAAAGUUCAUAGGACGAAAAGAGGUUAUUUUGAGGCCCUUAUACUCAUUAUGCCUAGCAUUGAAUGGGCUGGGUAUUUACCUUAUCAACUAUCAAAUCAAUGGUUCUCUAUUUGAAAUGAAUGCAAUAUGUUAAAAAUACUAACAUGAGAUGAUUCAUCUAUUGUUAAUAGUUAGCAGACCACACAAAGAAAACUAGAUCAGGAAGAUGGAUGUGCUGUCUGAAACAUACAAAAUAUUGUACAAAAUCUUAGAUGGUAAACUUUGGAGAUGUCAAACCAAUGAAAGGGAGAGGAGGGGGAUUAAGGGACACAGUUCCUGAUUAGAAUGUUUUUUAGCAUUAAAAGUUUAGAGUUUCUACAAGCUUUUGAUUGUAAGAUAAUUCAAAUUCAGUUGAUGAACUUACAAGAAAUUCAAUUGCAGUCUAUAUAUACAUUUUUUGGUAGAGGGUGUAAAGCAUAAUGGCAUGAUCUACAUAGGAGAGUUAGCAUGAUUUUGAAGAAUUAGAGGAUGUAGGCAGCAAGUUUCCAUCAUGCCACUUGUACAUGAAAUAUCAACAUGGCAGAACUAACUAUUGCUAGUCUAGACAAAACAAUAAUGCAAUGAUUAGCUGGAUGCCUCAUGUGUUGAACAAAAUGAAGAGAAUCAUCAUCAAAUUUAAUUGGUCUUAUCAGGGUGUUCUUCAAAAUUCUCUUAAUGAUUGCAUAGCCAUAUAUAUCAUGACCCUCGAGACCAUAGGAUACCAAUUAUAACACCAAAACUGACUCUAUUAGACUGGAAGCACAAUGUCCAUGCCAAUUUUGAGCCCACUAAAUCAUGGUAUGGGCACUUGAUAAAAAAAAAAGAAAAGGGUGAAAGAAAACUAUUUUCAAAUAAUUGGUGAUUAAAGUAGGCAGAUGAACAGUAUCAGAUUUCUACAGCUGCUGAGAACAUAGAUAAUAGCCAAUAUAGUCAUUGCCAUCUUUUCAAUAACAGUUAAGAGAACAAUAGCUUACUCAACAAUUUUAACUAAUCUAGAAAAGAAAUUUGCUUCAGCACAUUUGCACAAAAUAUUCUACCUUGAUGGUUAAUAGGAUAUAGAAAAAGCCAAUUAAAUUCCAACAAACUACUGCAUGCAUCACAAGAACCAGACUUGUAGUUGGAAUUUGUGUUAGGAUAUGUCCCUCGAUCAAUUUAGAGCAGAUUUGACAGUUCUUUAGGGGUUUACAACUUCAUAAAAUCUUGAACCAACACACAGCAGUCUGAAAAGGAAAACUGUCCUGGUGUUUUUUAAUUUUCUAUGAUGUUUUGGACAGAUAUUUCACAUUGUCUCAAGCAGAUUUUUAGGGAGUCGGAGUCUAGUCUUGAUUCCAAAUGGUGUUCAAGAGUCCUAAAAUAGGUAUAGUGUUAUUUAAAAAGCUAUUUUUUCAUGGACAUUUUACCUAACAAAAGGUUCGGCUUUUUACCAAAUUGUCACGGACAAACUUCUAAACAAGGUGUUUGAUGUAAUGCUUAUGUAUGUCCGUGUCUUUUGGCAUGUUUAUACCUUGUACAGCAUGUAGAUGGGGCGAUCGAAAGCUUAAUAGUCCCAUUUUAGUUGGGUUGGUGGCCUCUUUAGGCUUGUAAAUAAAGGUUGUGUCAUGUGGACACGUACGAGAGAUUCUCGGUCUGUAAUGGACCAUUUUAUCCUUUGUUGUGCAACUAUUCAGAGCUUGUAAAGUCUGUUUGUAAUUUGCGUUGUCUAUGAAGUGUUUUUCGGAGAUGUUUGCUUGUGGAUCCCGAUUGAGGCGUUCUCUCUAACCCGUUCUCUCUUUUGUUGGUCCUAAGGUACAAUGGGAGGCUUCGGGGAGGUUGACCUUUGCGGACGGACACGCAAGGGUGCCGCACGACUUAGGCAAAAUCAGCUAAGUCCGUGACAAAAUGGUGCCUCUCCAAUCGGUUUUUACCUAUGAGCGCCCAUUUUUCGUCAAUUUGAUAAAAAUGCCCCUCCGCCCUUCCCCCAACCGCUCCGACUGUUAUCGCCACUCCCAUCCACCGUUAUCUCUGCCAUCGCAGCUCCCUACUCCACCACGAGCGAUGUCACCCGUCGAACAUCCUCCCCCUCCCGCUCCUCCUCCUACCCCGCCGCCCGCCCUUUCCUGACACCCCAUGCGACGCGGCUACGUUGUCGACUUAGCAGCUUGCCAGGUCGGGCUCACCCUUGCCCUCGAUGAUGCUGACACCAUUGACACCCCCAUGCGAUGAGGGUGGUGCAACCGACUCAGUGGACCACGACUGCCCCCUCCCUUAGCAAUGUCACCUUUGCCGCCUCUUCAUUACCUCCGUAGCUAGCGCCCUCAUCGCACACCUCCACUCUACCCACCUGCUCCCAUUGCAACGAGGAAAGGCAGGUAGUUGGGGGAGGAGGAGGAGGAGGGGAAAGGGAGGAUGAGGAGGAGGCAAUGGGCGGCGAAGGUGACGACAAUCGAGGGCAAAGGGUAUUUUCAUUAAAUUGAUGAAAAUGGAAAACCUCAAGGUAAAAAUCAAUUAGAGGGCUGUCAUUUGGUAAACGGCCAACAUCGAGAGCUUUUUUAGGUACAAUGCCCUUUUUUUCAUCUAGAUUUGUAUUUGAAGUCAUUCAAGAGUUCUCAUUCAUUUGAUUAUUGAUGACAUUAAUAUAUAUAAUUGUAAGCUCUUGCAGCGUGACUUGAGAUUGUUAUCUUCUUUUAUGCAAUAGAAUUAACUUGUCUUGAAUUAGCUCCUCAUAUCUUGGAGGUUCUUCUCUCUCUUAAAGUAGAGAAGCCUCGCUUCUUUGGAGAGGCCAUAUCCUAACAGUUACAGUUAUAGAAUAAAAUAACAAUACUAUCUACCUUAGGAAAAAGAAAAAGCACCAGAGGAGAUAGACAGCUUAAUAGCUCCCAAAUCCCAGCACGCUAUCACACAACAAAAUCCAAUACUUAGAAGUAAGUUUAGAUUUCCACCUAAGAACAAAACUAACUCAUGCAAUGUUUACUCCCAACAAGCAGUCACACAACAAACCAUUAGAGAUUGAGGUUUCAGAUCUUGGAACAAAACAACAACCCUCUAUUCCCGAAGCACAAGAAUAACACAAUGCAUACAAGAACAAAGAAGAGGGGAAGCUCACACCAACCUGAAGAGAGCUGUGUCAUGUCACCCAUGAGAAGCAGCGCAAGAAGAGUCGCAGGAUGGCAGCGGAGUCGCGAAUUCCAACAGCACCAAGAAGCCGCCUUUAUUCUCUCUGGGCAACGAAAUGGGCCGUCGAAACCUGGAACAGAGCCACA
rnacentral:lncRNA from 1 species